CUUAACAGGACGAUUAUAUCUGCAGCUUUAUUUAGAGGAUUAGGAAGGCUCCACCGAUAUUGUAACAGCAGCUACUGUAUAUGCUCUCCACUUGAUAUAUAAGAAGACCCAUGGAACCAUUUUUUUCUCCUAGCUUGUGGAUAUGUGCCUGGAGUUUAACUCAUGGAUGGCAUUGUGUCUCCGGGCUCUUUUGAUCACUGAAAACAAUCUCGGACACCUGUGAUAAUUAGAUUGCCAGUGUAGAAUCGCUUGCAGCGCAUCAAAGACACGAGGACGCCGGUGUCCACUCCCGUACCAGCACAAGACUCACCUGUAUCUCCAUCUGCCAACCACCUCGGCGACCACCUUCCCAUAGGUCGGACGCUGUCCCAUGCCAGCCGAACACCGCAGACUAAACCUAGAGACCGAGAUCCUGCAGCAUCACAUAGACGGGCAUACUCCUUAGUACUGGACGCCACCGUGCCAGCCCUGACUGCCUAUCCCUCUACAUCUCCUACGGUCAGUGAGUUGUGCCGUGCACCAAUCUCAUAUUAUCCCAGUGUCACUAUACCACCAACGAGUAUUCACCAAAAUAAGAUGUUAUCCCUGGUUGCAUGAAUACUACUAUUAUUGAACUGUUACUUCUAUUAUUGAACUGUUACUACUAUUAUUGAACUGUUGCACUAUACUACCAACAAACUAUUUUAAUGAACUAUUACCGAACACUACUACAUUAUUGCUAAACUGUUGCACUUUACUACCAACAAAUUAUUCUAUGAACUAUUGCCAAAUAUUAAAUUGUUACAUUAUACCACUAACGAACUUUUACGUUGCUAUCCAUCUCAGUUAGCUUAUACUCCAGUUGGUAUAUACGCCUCAAUUAUCAGCAUAUUUUAAUGUAUUUUCAUUUUUACACAUUUUAUCAUUUCACAUAUUAUUUCCGUUUGAGCCGAUGCAAGGGCCCUGCUAAGGCGA